rnacentral:snRNA from 1 species
AUACUUACCUGGAUGGGGUUGAUGGAUGAUUACUAAGGUCUGUGGCCUAGGUUAGUGAUGGAGGGGUGUGCUCCUAAGCUCUACCCAAGUGGUGGAGCAGGCCUACCUUAUUUGCGACUGUGUAGCGGAAGCACGUUUCU